rnacentral:rRNA from 1 species
GACGAACGCUGGCGGCGUGCUUAACACAUGCAAGUCGAACGGAAAGGCCCUGCUUUUGUGGGGUGCUCGAGUGGCGAACGGGUGAGUAACACGUGAGUAACCUGCCCUUGACUUUGGGAUAACUUCAGGAGACUGGGGCUAAUACCGGAUAGGAGCUCCUGCUGCAUGGUGGGGGUUGGAAAGUUUCGGCGGUUGGGGAUGGACUCGCGGCUUAUCAGCUUGUUGGUGGGGUAGUGGCUUACCAAGGCUUUGACGGGUAGCCGGCCUGAGAGGGUGACCGGCCACAUUGGGACUGAGAUACGGCCCAGACUCCUACGGGAGGCAGCAGUGGGGAAUAUUGCACAAUGGGCGGAAGCCUGAUGCAGCAACGCCGCGUGCGGGAUGACGGCCUUCGGGUUGUGAACCGCUUUCGCCUGUGACGAAGCGUGAGUGACGGUAAUGGGUAAAGAAGCACCGGCUAACUACGUG